AUUGAACGCUGGCGGCAUGCUUUACACAUGCAAGUCGAGCGGCAGCACGGGGGCAACCCUGGUGGCGAGCGGCGAACGGGUGAGUAAUACAUCGGAACAUGCCCAGUCGUGGGGGAUAACACUUCGAAAGAAGUGCUAAUACCGCAUACGUCCUGAGGGAGAAAGCGGGGGAUCUUCGGACCUCGCGCGAUUGGAGUGGCCGAUGUCAGAUUAGCUAGUUGGUGGGGUAAAGGCCUACCAAGGCAACGAUCUGUAGCUGGUCUGAGAGGAUGAUCAGCCACACUGGGACUGGGAGACGGCCCAGACUCCUACGGGAGGCAGCAGUGGGGAAUGUUGGACAAUGGGGGCAACCCUGAUCCAGCCAUUCCGCGUGAGUGAAGAAGGCCUUCGGGUUGUAAAGCUCUUUCGGCAGGAACGAAACGGCGAGCUCUAACAUAGCUUGCUAAUGACGGUACCUGAAGAAGAAGCACCGGCUAACUACGUGCCAGCAGCCGCGGUAACAC
rnacentral:rRNA from 1 species